GAAGAAUAUUAAGUUUAAUAUUUCUGUUGUUUAUUUAAAUUAAAACAUUUAUUAUUGUUUGAUUGAACACUCAGAGCUCACACCAAAGUUAAUUCACAACUAGUUACAGUAACGAAAUUUGAAUGUAAGUACCUUUUAUUUAGUUAAACACUAUUGAACACUUAAAUAUGUGGCAAUAAACUACUUAAAUUGAAAUAAUAACAUAAGGUUUUAUUUACACAUCAUUUUAAUAAAUAAUUCCUUGAUACAUUGUAUAUGAUACUUUGUAUAAU